rnacentral:rRNA from 1 species
UGAGCGGCAGACGGGUGAGUAACGCGUGGGAAUCUACCCAUCUCUACGGAAUAACUCAGGGAAACUUGUGCUAAUACCGUAUACGCCCUUCGGGGGAAAGAUUUAUCGGAGAUGGAUGAGCCCGCGUUGGAUUAGCUAGUUGGUGGGGUAAAGGCCUACCAAGGCGACGAUCCAUAGCUGGUCUGAGAGGAUGAUCAGCCACACUGGGACUGAGACACGGCCCAGACUCCUACGGGAGGCAGCAGUGGGGAAUAUUGGACAAUGGGCGCAAGCCUGAUCCAGCCAUGCCGCGUGAGUGAUGAAGGCCCUAGGGUUGUAAAGCUCUUUCACCGGUGAAGAUAAUGACGGUAACCGGAGAAGAAGCCCCGGCUAACUUCGUGCCAGCAGCCGCGGUAAUACGAAGGGGGCUAGCGUUGUUCGGAAUUACUGGGCGUAAAGCGCACGUAGGCGGAUCGUUAAGUGAGGGGUGAAAUCCCAGGGCUCAACCCUGGAACUGCCUUUCAUACUGGCGAUCUUGAGUUCGAGAGAGGUGAGUGGAAUUCCGAGUGUAGAGGUGAAAUUCGUAGAUAUUCGGAGGAACACCAGUGGCGAAGGCGGCUCACUGGCUCGAU